rnacentral:rRNA from 1 species
GGGAAGCAAAACUGCAAGUCGAGCGACCACUUCGUGUGGGAAGCGGCUAACGGGUGAGUAACACGCAGGUGAUCUGCCCCUUUGACGGGGACCACGAUUGUAAACGAUCGCUAAUACCGGACCAUACGAAAGUUUAAAGAUGCUCCUGGCAUCACUGAUGGAUGAGCCUGCGGCGCAUUAGCUAGUUGGUGGGGUAAACGCCUACCAAGGCGACGAUGCGUAGCCGACCUGAGAGGGUGAACGGCCACACUGGGACUGAAAGACGGCCCACACUCCUACGGUAGGCAGCAGUACGGAAUCUUCGGCAAUGGGCGAAAGCCUGACCGAACAACGCCGCGAGAAUGAAGAAGGCCUUCGGGUUGUAAAAUUCUGUUAUAAGGGAAGAAAGGUGAUAGGAGGAAAUGACUAUCAAUUGACGGUACCUUAUGAGAAAGCCACGGCUAACUACGUGCCAGCAGCCGCGGUAAUACGUAUGUGGCAAGCGUUAUCCGGAAUUAUUGGGCGUAAAGAGCGCGCAGGUGGUUAAUUAAGUCUGAUGUGAAAGCCCACGGCUUAACCGUGGAGGGUCAUUGGAAACUGGUUGACUUGAGUGCAGAAGAGGGAAGUGGAAUUCCAUGUGUAGCGGUGAAAUGCGUAAAGAUAUGGAGGAACACCAGUGGCGAAGGCGGCUUCCUGGUCUGCAACUGACACUGAGGCGCGAAAGCGUGGGGAGCAAACAGGAUUAGAUACCCUGCUAUUCCACGCCGUACA